GGUUGUGCCCUUGAGGCGUGGCUUCCGGAGCUAACGCGUUAAGUCGACCGCCUGGGGAGUACGGCCGCAAGGUUAAAACUCAAAUGAAUUGACGGGGGCCCGCACAAGCGGUGGAGCAUGUGGUUUAAUUCGAUGCAACGCGAAGAACCUUACCUGGUCUUGACAUCCACGGAAGUUUUCAGAGAUGAGAAUGUGCCUUCGGGAACCGUGAGACAGGUGCUGCAUGGCUGUCGUCAGCUCGUGUUGUGAAAUGUUGGGUUAAGUCCCGCAACGAGCGCAACCCUUAUCCUUUGUUGCCAGCGGUCCGGCCGGGAACUCAAAGGAGACUGCCAGUGAUAAACUGGAGGAAGGUGGGGAUGACGUCAAGUCAUCAUGGCCCUUACGACCAGGGCUACACACGUGCUACAAUGGCGCAUACAAAGAGAAGCGACCUCGCGAGAGCAAGCGGACCUCAUAAAGUGCGUCGUAGUCCGGAUUGGAGUCUGCAACUCGACUCCAUGAAGUCGGAAUCGCUAGUAAUCGUGGAUCAGAAUGCCACGGUGAAUACGUUCCCGGGCCUUGUACACACCGCCCGUCAC
rnacentral:rRNA from 1 species